AUUGAACGCUGGCGGCAGGCUUAACACAUGCAAGUCGAGCGGGGGAAGGUAGCUUGCUACUGGACCUAGCGGCGGACGGGUGAGUAAUGCUUAGGAAUCUGCCUAUUAGUGGGGGACAACAUCUCGAAAGGGAUGCUAAUACCGCAUACGUCCUACGGGCGACAGCAGGGGAGCGUCGGACCUUGCGCUAAUAGAUGAGCCUAAGUCGGAUUAGCUAGUUGGUGGGGUAAAGGCCUACCAAGGCGACGAUCUGUAGCGGGUCUGAGAGGAUGAUCCGCCACACUGGGACUGAGACCCGGCCCAGACUCCUACGGGAGGCAGCAGGGGGGAAUAUUGGACAAUGGGGGGAACCCUGAUCCAGCCAUGCCGCGUGUGUGAAGAAGGCCUUAUGGUUGUAAAGCACUUUAAGCGAGGAGGAGGCUACUCUAGUUAAUACCUAGGGAUAGUGGACGUUACUCGCAGAAUAAGCACCGGCUAACUCUGUGCCAGCAGCCGCCGUAA
rnacentral:rRNA from 1 species